rnacentral:rRNA from 1 species
CUGAUCCUAGAGAUAGGACGUCCCCUUCGGGGGCAGAGUGACAGGUGGUGCAUGGUUGUCGUCAGCUCGUGUCGUGAGAUGUUGGGUUAAGUCCCGCAACGAGCGCAACCCUUGAUCUUAGUUGCCAGCAUUCAGUUGGGCACUCUAAGGUGACUGCCGGUGACAAACCGGAGGAAGGUGGGGAUGACGUCAAAUCAUCAUGCCCCUUAUGACCUGGGCUACACACGUGCUACAAUGGACAGAACAAAGGGCAGCGAAACCGCGAGGUUAAGCCAAUCCCACAAAUCUGUUCUCAGUUCGGAUCGCAGUCUGCAACUCGACUGCGUGAAGCUGGAAUCGCUAGUAAUCGCGGAUCAGCAUGCCGCGGUGAAUACGUUCCCGGGUCUUGUACACACCGAAA